GUACUGCUGGCUUAGGUGGUAAAGCCUGUGACUCUUGAUCUCAGGGUCAUGAGUUCAAGCCCCAUGUUGGGCA
rnacentral:tRNA from 1 species